UACGAGGGGCUAGCGUUGUUCGGAUUACUGGCGUAAAGCGCACGUAGGCGGAUCUUUAAGUCAGAGGUGAAAUCCCAAGGCUCAACCUUGGAACUGCCUUUGAUACUGGGGAUCUUGAGUCCGGGAGAGGUGAGUGGAACUGCGAGUGUAGAGGUGAAAUUCGUAGAUAUUCGCAAGAACGCCAGUGGCGAAGGCGGCUCACUGGCCCGGUACUGACGCUGAGGUGCGAAAGCGUGGGGAGC
rnacentral:rRNA from 1 species